GAUGAACGCUGGCGGCGUGCUUAACACAUGCAAGUCGAACGGAACUACUCCAAUGAGAGUCUUCGGAAAGGAUUUGGUUUAGUUUAGUGGCGGACGGGUGAGUAACGCGUGGGUAACCUGCCCUAUACAGGGGGAUAACAGUUGGAAACGACUGUUAAUACCGCCUAAGCGCACAGGAGCGCAUGCUCCGGUGUGAAAAACUCCGGUGGUAUAGGAUGGACCCGCGUCUGAUUAGCUGGUUGGCGGGGUAACGGCCCACCAAGGCGACGAUCAGUAGCCGGCCGGAGAGGGUGAACGGCCACAUUGGGACUGAGACACGGCCCAAACUCCUACGGGAGGCAGCAGUGGGGAAUAUUGCACAAUGGGGGAAACCCUGAUGCAGCGACGCGGCGUGAGCGAAGAAGUAUCUCGGUAUGUAAAGCUCUAUCAGCAGGGAAGAAAAUGACGGUACCUGACUAAGAAGCCCCGGCUAACUACGUG
rnacentral:rRNA from 1 species